rnacentral:misc_RNA from 1 species
ACCUUGGUAAUUCGCUGUUGUGUUGGUGUUGUAAAAUCCCAGACUGAGGGACCGAAGGCCUAUACCAUUGCAGUGCCGCCCUCUGAUAUCAGUAAGCAUUUCGGAAAGCUUUUAGAAAGUGGAAAGAGAACUGAUGUAAAUUUUGAGGUUGAUGGGGAAGUAUAUGCUGCUCACAAGUUGGUUCUUGCAGCACGGUCACCUGUGUUUAGGGCACAACUUUUUGGUCCAUUGAAGGAUCAAAACACUGAAUGCAUAAAAGUUGAAGACAUAGAAGCUCCAGUUUUUAAGGCAUUGCUCUAUUUUAUUUACCGGAAUACCCUACCAGAUAUGGAAGAGCUUUUCGGCCUGAACUCUAAAUGGGCUUCUACACUGAUGGCUCAGCAUCUGCUUGCAGCAGCAGACCGUUAUGCAUUGGAGAGGCUCAGAUUGCUCUGUGAGGCUAAACUGUGUGAAGAUGUUGCCAUAAACACUGUUGCAACGACACUUGCUUUGGCAGAGCAGCAUCAGUGUCUCCAACU